rnacentral:tRNA from 1 species
CGGGAUGUAGCGCAGUUUGGUAGCGCGUUUGACUGGGGGUCAAAAGGUCGCAGGUUCAAAUCCUGUCAUCCCGA